UACGUAGGGUGCAAGCGUUCAUCGGAAUUACUGGGCGUAAAGCGUGCGCAGGCGGUUAUAUAAGACAGUUGGGAAAUCCCCGGGCUCAACCUGGGAACUGCAUCUGUGACUGUAUAGCUAGAGUACGGUAGAGGGGGAUGGAAUUCCGCGUGUAGCAGUGAAAUGCGUAGAUAUGCGGAGGAACACCGAUGGCGAAGGCAAUCCCCUGGACCUGUACUGACGUUCAUGCACGAAAGCGUGGGGAGCAAACAGG
rnacentral:rRNA from 1 species